UUACACGGAUCCGCGGAAUAUAGGCUGCGGCCACAAGUUCUGCAGAGACUGUAUUUUAUAGUGUUGGGGCACAGGACAAGGAAGUGUGUGCUGUGCACAGUGCAGGCAGCAGAUUCUCCAGAGGCGUGUUUGUCCCAACAGAACUCUGUCUAACAUGGUGGAGAGUGUUCGGAAACUGAGCCUGGAUCCGGGACUGGAAGAUGUGGGAAUCUAGUAGGAAGAGCAUGAGGAGAAGCUGGAACUGUUUUGUGAAAUGGAUCAAAGAGCGAUCUGUGAGAAGCUGCAGGAAGCACUGGAAACUCUUCAUAAACAGUUGCAUGAAAUGACACAGUGUCAGAGAGAAGAAGGAGCUACUCAACUGGAAGUGGGGAUGAGGGGUUGUUAUAUCAUUUCUUAGCCCAUCCCAUUGAUAUUGCUGUCUCCAGCCAGGAACACCCUACCAACACAAGCCGAGCGUCUGAGGAAGAACAUCGAUGCUGAAUUUGCUCAACGUGACUCGCUGCUGACUGAGGAGCAUCAAGACCUUAUCACCAAACUCGGAGAGCAGGAGGACACAAUCUUAGGACAAAUAGAAAACAAUAAGAGUGACAUUUCCAAGCAAAUUACUUCUAUUAACCAGAGAAUAGCGGAAAUCCAGACAAGACUGACUCUACAGAACA